NNNNNNNNNNNNNNNNNNNNNNNNNNNNNNNNNNNNNNNNNNNNNNNNNNNNNNNNNNAGGAUUGUUUGGGGUUGGGGGGAGAAUUCCAGGAUUGUUUGGGGAUGGAGGGAGAAUUCCAGGAUAGUUCGGGGUUGGAAAGGGCAUUCCUGGAUUGUUUGGAGUUGGAAAGGGAAUUCCAGGAUAGUUCGGGGUUGGAAAAGGCAUUCCUGGAUUGUUUGGAGUUGGAAAGGGAAUCCCAGGAUUGUUCAGGGUUGGAGAAGGCAUUCCUGGAUUGUUUGGAGUUGGAAAGGGAAUCCCAGGAUUGUUCGGUGGUGGAAAAGGCAUUCCUGGAUUGUUUGGAGUUGGAAAGGGAAUCCCAGGAUUGUUCGGGGUUGGAAAAGGCAUUCCUGGAUUGUUUGGAGUUGGAAAGGGAAUUCCAGGAUUCUUCGGGGUGGGAAAGGGCAUUCCAGGAUUGUUUGGGGUUCUAGGGAGAAUUCCAGGAUUGUUUGGGGUUGGAAAGGGCAUUCCAGGAUUGUUUGGGUGGAUCCUGAGGAGGGAAGUGCAGGAAUUCUUUGGGAAGCUCCAGGGAUGGGGGUCCCUGAGCUCCUCCUGGUGCUUCUCAACCCUUUUUCCAUGGAAAAAUCAUCCCAAAUCUCCAACCCUGGCACCUUCCCGGGGAUCAGAUCCCAAAUUUCCCCCGGCUUGGGGUCACUCUGGUCACCCACAGUGAGGGGAGAGGUGACCCUUGGGGUCAGUGUCCCAUGGGGCGGGACAGUUUUGGGGUCAGUGUCCUGCUGGUCAUCAGGGUGGCUUUGGGGUCACUCUGGUGACCCUUGGGGUCAGUGUCCUGCUGGUCAUCAGGACAGCUUUGGGGUCAGUGUCCUGCUGGUCAUCAGGGUGGCUUUGGGGUCACUCUGGUGACCUUUGGGGUCAGUGUCCCAUGGGGUGGGACAGUUUUGGGGUCACUCUGGUGACCUUUGGGGUCAGUGUCCUGCUGGUCAUCAGGGUGGCUUUGGGGUCACUCUGGUGACCCUUGGGGUCAGUGUCCUGCUGGUCAUUGGGACAGCUUUGGGGUCACUCUGGUGACCUUUGGGGUCAGUGUCCUGCUGGUCAUCAGGGUGGCUUUGGGGUCACUCUGAUGACCUUUGGGGUCAGUGUCCCAUGGGGUGGGACAGUUUUGGGGUCAGUGUCCUGCUGGUCA
rnacentral:lncRNA from 1 species